GACGAACCGUCCGAACGUUAUUCGGAAUUACUGGGCGUAAAGGGUGCGUAGGCGGUCUUUCAAGCCAGAAGUGAAAGGCUACGGCUCAACCGUAGUAAGCUCUUGAAACUGUAAGACUUGAGUGCAGGAGAGGAGAGUGGAAUUCCUAGUGUAGCGGUGAAAUGCGUAGAUAUUAGGAGGAACACCGGUGGCGAAGGCGACUUUCUGGACGAUAACUGACGCUGAGACGCGAAAGCGUGGGGAGCAAACAGGAUUAGAUACCCGGGUAGUCCCUGAGCGGG
rnacentral:rRNA from 1 species